CAUUUAUGGUUAGAACUACAGCGGUAUCUAAUCGCCUUCGAACCUCUAACUUUCGUUCUUGAUUAAUGAAAACACCUUUGGCAAAUGCUUUCGCUUUAGUCCGUCUUGCGACGAUCCAAGAAUUUCACCUCUAACGUCGCAAUACGAAUGCCCCCAGUUGUCCCUAUUAAUCAUUACCUCUGGUAUCAGAAAGCCAACAAAACAGAACCGAGGUCCUAUUCUAUUAUUCCAUGCGUACAAUAUUCAGGCGAAACUUAGCCCGCUUUGAGA
rnacentral:rRNA from 1 species